rnacentral:rRNA from 1 species
AUACGUAGGGUGCGAGCGUUGUCCGGAAUUACUGGGCGUAAAGAGCUCGUAGGUGGUUUGUCGCGUCGUCUGUGAAAUUCCGGGGCUUAACUCCGGGCGUGCAGGCGAUACGGGCAUAACUUGAGUACUGUAGGGGAGACUGGAAUUCCUGGUGUAGCGGUGAAAUGCGCAGAUAUCAGGAGGAACACCGGUGGCGAAGGCGGGUCUGUGGGCAGUAACGGACGCUGAGGAGCGAAAGCAUGGGUAGCGAACAGGAUUAGAUACCCUGGUAGUCCAUGCCGUAAACGGUGGGCGCUAGGUGUAGGGGUCUUCCACGACUUCUGUGCCGUAGCUAACGCAUUAAGCGCCCCGCCUGGGGAGUACGGCCGCAAGGCUAAAACUCAAAGGAAUUGACGGGG